rnacentral:tRNA from 1 species
GUGGAUAUAGUAUAAUGGUUAGUACGUCAGAUUGUGGCUCUGAGAGUGAGGGUUCGAUUCCCCCUAUCCACCC